AUUGAACGCUGGCGGAAUGCUUUACACAUGCAAGUCGAGCGGCAGCGCGGGGGCAACCCUGGCGGCGAGCGGCGAACGGGUGAGUAACAUAUCGGAACGUACCCUGUCGUGGGGGAUAACUAUCCGAAAGGAUAGCUAAUACCGCAUAAGCCCUGAGGGGGAAAGUGGGGGACCGCAAGGCCUCACGCGAAUGGAGCGGCCGAUGUCAGAUUAGCUAGUUGGUGGGGUAAAGGCCCACCAAGGCGACGAUCUGUAGCGGGUCUGAGAGGAUGAUCCGCCACACUGGGACUGAGACACGGCCCAGACUCCUACGGGAGGCAGCAGUGGGGAAUUUUGGACAAUGGGCGCAAGCCUGAUCCAGCCAUGCCGCGUGCGGGACGAAGGCCUC
rnacentral:rRNA from 1 species